UGCGUAGGCGGAUUAAUAAGUCAGUGGUGAAAUCUUUCGGCUCAACCGAGAAACUGCCAUUGAUACUGUUGAUCUUGAGUUCGGUUGAGGUAGGCGGAAUGUGUAAUGUAGCGGUGAAAUGCUUAGAUAUUACACAGAACACCAAUUGCGUAGGCAGCUUACUAGACCGACACUGACGCUGAGGCACGAAAGCGUGGGGAGCGAACAGGGUUAGAUACCCUGGUAGUCC
rnacentral:rRNA from 1 species